rnacentral:rRNA from 1 species
UAAUUGUGUGCCAGCAGCCGCGGUAAUACGGAGGAUGCGAGCGUUAUCCGGAUUUAUUGGGUUUAAAGGGUGCGUAGGCGGGCUCUUAAGUCAGCGGUAAAAUUGCGGUGCUCAACGCCGUAGAGCCGUUGAAACUGGGAGCCUUGAGUGAGCGAGAAGUAGGCGGAAUGCGUGGUGUAGCGGUGAAAUGCAUAGAUAUCACGCAGAACUCCGAUUGCGAAGGCAGCAUACCGGCGCCCAACUGACGCUGAAGCACGAAAGCGUGGGUAUCGAACAGGAUUAGAUACCCUGGUAGUCCACGCAGUAAACGAUGAAUACUAGCUGUUCGGGGCAAAUGAGCCUUGAGUGGCACAGCGAAAGCGUUAAGUAUUCCACCUGGGGAGUACGCCGGCAACGGUGAAACUCAAA